GCGGUAACAGCUCAAAUUUGAAAGCUAGCUCUUUUAGGGUUCGCAUUGUAAUUUGUAGAAGAUGCUUCGGGUGUGGCCCCGGUCUAAGUUCCUUGGAACAGGACGUCAUAGAGGGUGAGAAUCCCGUAUGUGACUGGGUGCUUUCGCUCAUGUGAAGCUCUUUCGACGAGUCGAGUUGUUUGGGAAUGCAGCUCAAAAUGGGUGGUAAAUUUCAUCUAAAGCUAAAUAUUGGCCAGAGACCGAUAGCGCACAAGUAGAGUGAUCGAAAGAUGAAAAGCACUUUGGAAAGAGAGUUAAACAGUACGUGAAAUUGUUGAAAGGGAAGCGCUUGCAACCAGACUUGCGCGCUGAUGAUCAUCCGGGCUUCUGCCCGGUGCACUCGUCUGCGCUCAGGCCAGCAUCGGUUUCGGUGGUGGGAUAAAGGCCUUGGGAAUGUAGCUCCUCUCGGGGAGUGUUAUAGCCCUCGGUGCAAUGCCGCCUACCGGGACCGAGGACCGCGCUUCGGCUAGGAUGCUGGCGUAAUGGUUGUAAGCGACCCGUCUUGA
rnacentral:rRNA from 1 species